rnacentral:pre_miRNA from 1 species
AUAUUACUCCCUCCGUCCCAAAAUAAGUGACUCAACUUUGUACUAACUUUGUACUAAAGUUAGUGCAAUGUUGAGUCACUUAUUUUGGGACGGAGGGAGUAUUUA